GUUUCGUUCGCUCAGAGAAGGCGUCCAUUUUCAGUUCAUUUCGAACCAGCUAGUUGGGGGGCAGCCAUGGAAGAUCCGCAUUCAUUGUUAGACAUGCGUGGGGGGGCGUCGAUUUUCGUUUGGGAGGUGCGCUGCAAAUCCAGCCGCACUUUUAGUCUUUGUCUCACAGAUUUGUGGUUGGGAGAUUUCUCAUCGUUUCUACAGCCUUCGACUCAGACGUCUUCCAUCUUUCUUGCUUGCGAGUUUUUGCAUCCUUUGUCUUCAGGUUCUUGGGUAAUCCAUAAUGCUAUAUAAGAGGAGAUGAGGUAUUUAUAUUUCACAACAUAUUGGGUUCUAUCAGGAAGGGAUUGAAUCUCACAUAUUAGCUCAGGUGUUGUUUUUCUGCUUUAGAUAGUGCUGUUUGGUGAUUGUUUUUGGUUAUGUUAAGCAAGAGCUGUAAAUGAAGUCAAGUAAUUCUUAUGUGGUUUGAACUAAUGACAAGCUGUUUCAACGUAUCCUAUAACCAUCUUUGGGGUCCUAUACCACUUGGCGAACAAUUUGGUACAUUCCUAGAAGUUUCAUACUAGGGAAACUCAGGUCUUUUUUUGAAGCCUUUGUCAAAGAAAUGUGAUAGCUCAAUAUCGCUACCGCCAUCAAUCUUUGAAGAAGAUGAAGAUUCCGGGUUUCAAAUUGCACUAGAUUGGUAUGUGGUUCUGCCAGGAGCUUUUAGUGGUUGCUGGGAACUUCUGGACAAGCAAGAAUCAUGAAUGGUUUUUAGAGAAAUUUAGCAGAAAGAGGCAGCCAAGAGUCACACGGGGAAGGAAAGGACACAGAAACUAGGUACUUAUUUUAAAUCUAUGUUUAUCUUGCAGCUGCAGCUGCUGUUGUUUAGAAUAAUUGUAUGGGGUCUGGUGCAUUCUGUUUUAUUACAAUAAGGGUGGUGGUGUGUAUUUUGCUUGUAUUAAUUUGUGGUGCUGUAAGUUGCUUGUAUUAAUUUUUACAACAAGUAAGCAAAGAUAAAAGACAGCUCAUUUUUCA